rnacentral:rRNA from 1 species
UACGGAGGGGGCGAGCGUUAUUCGGAAUUAUUGGGCGUAAAGGGCGCGUAGGCGGCCCGGUAAGUCAAAGGUGAAAUCCCUCGGCUCAACUGAGGAACUGCCUUUGAAACUGUCGGGCUUGAGGCCGGGAGGGGGUAGCGGAAUUCCCAGUGUAGCGGUGAAAUGCGUAGAUAUUGGGAGGAACACCAGUGGCGAAGGCGGCUACCUGGACCGGUUCUGACACUGAGGAGCGAAAGCGUGGGGAGCGAUCCGG